rfam:Microcoleus sp. PCC 7113, complete genome.
GGGACUGUAGCUCAGUGGUUAGAGCGUUCCCCUGUCGAGGGAAGGGUCGCCAGUUCAAAUCUGGUCAGUCUCG